CGUAAUCUACCCUGUAGAUCCGGGCUUUUGUAGAACCCUUGUAGAUAUCAGAAGCUCGUCUCUACAGGUAUCUUACGG
rfam:Zootermopsis nevadensis contig11439, whole genome shotgun sequence.